ensembl:lincRNA 4933438B17Rik RIKEN cDNA 4933438B17 gene
AUAGAGAAGCGACAGUUGGCAGAGCCAACAACAGCACAUGGGAGACACCAGGGUCCCUUGGCAAAGGAGGAUCAAAGAAGCAGUGGAGAGAAACUCAUCAGACAGGAAAAUAAGCAAGAAGAUUCUGAAGUCUUUUCUACAUUUGUUUGUGGUGAAAGAGUGGCGUAGCCCAGGGCUGUGUCUGCUUCAAAAUGCAGGGAGAGUCAGCCUACAGUCCAUAAUUAGCACCAUGUCAUUCCAGUGAGAGCCACAGUCCUGUGCCACCCCGUGGGACCCAAGUCCUGAUCAUGAAAAUCCAUGCCUGCACAUCCUCUCUGAAGGACCCGAAAAAGUCCCUUGGAAAGGGCCAUUCAUCCCUCAUACGUGUCUCUCUAGCAUCUGCCUGGUCCACUGUGCCAUAAAAUGAAAUCUCUCUUAAUGAGAAACUGCACCUACCUUUUGGCCUCCGGUUUCUGAAUUUCACAGCUUAUUAUGAACGUUUCCAUUUAUUCAGAGGGUGCCUUUCUGACGUGUUAACUCCAUCUUUCAAUCAGUCCUAUUAUAUUCCUUUUCCCCUUUUUAAAGACGAUCUACCAUGUG